rnacentral:rRNA from 1 species
UACAGAGGGGGCGAGCGUUAUUCGGAAUUAUUGGGCGUAAAGGGCGCGUAGGCGGCUUUUCAAGUGGCGGGUGAAAUCCCUCGGCUUAACCGAGGAACUGCCUGCCAGACUGGAUUGCUUGAGUCCGGGAGAGGUGAGUGGAAUUCCCAGUGUAGCGGUGAAAUGCGUAGAUAUUGGGAGGAACACCAGUGGCGAAGGCGGCUCACUGGACCGGAACUGACGCUGAGGCGCGAAAGCGUGGGGAGCAAUCAGG